GCAUUAGUGGUGUAAUGGUUAACAUGUGGUCUUCCCAUUUCUGAGUGGCCGCGUUCGGGGUUCGAUUCCCCGCUAAUGCA